rnacentral:lncRNA from 1 species
GGGGUUUCCUUGAACCCGCUGGGUACGAGGCCGAGGAAACACUAAUAACCCCUACACAAGCCUAGUAUGGGCGGGUUACGCACAUACUGUCGGCACACUCACAACACAAACUCAAUCUAGAACCUAACGUAACGAUAAAGUUCCAGAUCCUAACUAGACACUCUACUCUACAACACAAACCAACAGUACCAGUAGUCCGGCCUAUAUGGCCUAAGACCCUUAGUACUAACUACUAAACAAUAAUAUCAAUACUAAACAAUACAAUCAAACCGUUACCCAGAUAGUCCAGCCUCCCGCUGAGAAACUAUCUUUAAAGAUAAUGGGAACCUGCACUCAACCAUAUCAAC